rnacentral:misc_RNA from 1 species
AAAGUCGUAACAAGGUAACCGUAGGUGAACCUGCGGUUGGAUCAUUAACAAAUUCAAUCAAAAUUGAGGGAAACCUCUUUUUUACACACAAUGUGAACUGUUUAUUGUAUCUGGUGGUUCUUUUGGAUAUGAAAAUAUCUAAUCCCACUUUUAUAAAACUUAUUAUUUAUUGGCCUUUAUAUCUUAUAAAAAAAGUUAAAUUAAAAAACAACUUUUGGCAACGGAUCUCUAGGCUCUU